GGAAAUGAAGCUAUAUUAAAUUGGACCAUUUUAACAUAGUUUAGUCAGACAAAGGGUGCAUUUUUCUCAAGAAUAAGGUUAUUUUUUUGAAGGAAGCAGUAACACAUGCAGAUACCGCUUUCAAAGUUUACUUGCUUAUCCCCUCCUGAGACUUUCUCUAAGGCAUAUAAGCUGUGAAAGAAUCUCUCCCCUGGAAAUGGAGCAUGUCCUUGGAAACAUCUCUCAUUGAGCAUAUCCACCUCUUGAUUCCCUAAGAUAUAUCAGUUGUGAAAGAAUCUCUCCCCUGGAAUUUGAGCAUGCCUCUGGAAACAUCUCCCAUUUUACUUUUGUGUGCUUGUAGAAGUUGUCAGUGAUUGAAUUGUGAAACUGUAUUACUCCAUGUGACCAAGUAAACCGCUUUAUUUCUAAUGCAACCAUCUUUUUAA